rnacentral:rRNA from 1 species
AUGCAUACAGGAGAAGAAACUUACCCUGUCAGGACCGGGACGGGGGCCGGCCUUCCAUGCACGGCGCCACGCUUCCUCUUGGCCGGCCUCGGGUCCCGGCCGGGUCCGCCGCGCACUUCGGGGCCCAAGGCCGCACCGCGGCGCUUUCUUUUCCAUGCGGGUGGCUCGGCGCCGCCCCACGCGACGACCCGGAUCCGCCCGCGUCGCCGCCUCCUCCACCCAGCGCCACACCAACAACUGGCAUCAGCAUCACCCGCGUCGUGCCACGGUCAACAACUCGAGAAACACGAAGAAAAGGACAAGGCUUACCCACGCGACGCCCAGCGUCGGUGUCGGCCUCGGCCUCCUCCCCACCGUGGGCCGCGGGCUCCUCCGACGCCACCCGCUCCACCUGCGACGGAGCUCGGGCGUAAGGAUGCCGGAUCGCGUUCAGAAGCACCUCCCGCAUCGCGUCAGGGUGAACAAGGAGAUGCGCAGCAGCAAAGUAAGGUGACCAAACACUCACCAGUGGCGCCGGAUCGACUCGCUGUACGGCACCUUGCCGAACCGCCAGUCCUCCCCAAGGUUGGCCUUGGAGAUAUCAUUCACUCGGCACGCGAUCUGCUCCGUCGUCAGGCACGUCGUUCCCAUGCGGUUGGGAUCUUGAAGACCGGCCAUCUCGCCGAUGAGGCAGGAGCGCCUCUGUAG